rnacentral:rRNA from 1 species
GACGAACGCUGGCGGCGUGCUUAACACAUGCAAGUCGAACGGAAAGGCCCUGCUUUCGUGGGGUGCUCGAGUGGCGAACGGGUGUGUAACACGUGAGUAACCCGCCCUUGUUUUUGGUAUAACUUCAGGAAACUGGGUCUAAUACCGGAUAGGAGCUCCUGCUGCUUGGUGGGGGUUGGAAAGUUUCGGCGGUUGGGGAUGGACUCGCGGCUUAUCAGCUUGUUGGUGGGGUAGUGGCCUACCAAGGCGUUGACGGGUAGCCGGCCUGAGAGGGUGGCCGGCCACAUUGGGACUGAGAUACGGCCCAGACUCCUACGGGAGGCAGCAGUGGGGAAUAUUGCACAAUGGGCGGAAGCCUGAUGCAGCGACGCCGCGUGCGGGAUGACGGCCUUCGGGUUGUAAACCGCUUUCGACUGUGACGAAGCGUGAGUGACGGUAAUGGGUUAAGAAGCACCGGCUAACUACGUG